UACGUAGGGGGCGAGCGUUGUCCGGAUUUACUGGGCGUAAAGAGCGCGUAGGCGGAUGUUUAAGUGUGGCCUCAAAGCCCCCGGCUCAACCGGGGAUCUGGGUUGCAAACUGGGCAUCUUGAGGGGGAUAGAGGAGAGUGGAAUUCCUGGUGUAGCGGUGAAAUGCGUAGAUAUCAGGAGGAACACCAAUUGCGAAGGCAGCUCGCUGGGACGUGACUGACGCUGAGACGCGAAAGCGUGGGGAGCAAACAGG
rnacentral:rRNA from 1 species